UACGUAGGGGGCAAGCGUUAUCCGGAUUUACUGGGUGUAAAGGGAGCGUAGACGGUAUGGUAAGUCAGAUGUGAAAGCCCGGGGCUCAACCCCGGGACUGCAUUUGAAACUAUCAAACUGGAGUGCAGGAGAGGUAAGUGGAAUUCCUAGUGUAGCGGUGAAAUGCGUAGAUAUUAGGAGGAACACCAGUGGCGAAGGCGGCUUACUGGACUGAAACUGACGUUGAGGCUCGAAAGCGUGGGGAGCAAACAGGAUUAGAUACCCCUGUAGUCCCUCGAG
rnacentral:rRNA from 1 species